rnacentral:rRNA from 1 species
ACAUACGACCAUAGACUCAAGAGAAUUGGGCAUCCCGUCCGCUCUGCCAUACACAAGCUUGAGAUCGGUGGAUUAGUAUAGUUGGGUGGGUGACCGCUCUGCCAUACACAAGCUUGAGAUCGGUGGAUUAGUAGUUGGGUGGGUGACCACCAGCGAAUACCCACUGUUGUAUGUU